CUUUUGUAUAUGGACACGCGCCCUGGUUUGUUUUGGUUUUCCCCUUGUUUCAGCAUUGGUUCAUGUUCGAGGAUGUGUCUUGAUUUACUCCAGGUGUCUAUGAUUUAGUAUUGAUUGUGUUAGUCAUUUAAACCCCUCGUGUUGCUGUGCACAUCGUGCAGUAUUAACGGUAGCUGAGUGUUUGCCUGUGGACUUAAAUGGCAUUCGCUGUAUAGGGAAUGAGUGAGCGAUUUCAGAUACAGUGAAUGUCACUAAAAAACCCGGAAGCACAUACUGGUGCUGCAAGCUUUGCUUCGGGUUUCAGAGGGGAAAUCGUGACUCUAGGGCUAGAUAAAAUGAUAUUACUUUUGCCUUACUGGUAUGCUUUUUAAAAAAAUUUAAGUAAUUAUCAUUGGUGCUUCUAUAACACUUAGUGACUGACUCAAUUACUCCUCAUAGUUAUUUGGAUGUUAAAAUCCCAUUCUUAUUUUUUACAGUGACAGCAAUGUUUUCCUAAAUAUUCCAAUGAUAAAAUCUACAUUUGUCAGGGUGAAAGUCUGAAUUUCCUCUUCCCAUAUGUGAAAAUGGCUUCUAAUCCAGCAAAUACUUAUGAAAACAGAAAAAGUAAGUUAAACAUUGUUUAGUCAUUGUUAGGUCAUUGGCAAUGUUUAUGAAUCAUAUGACAAAUGUAUGGUAUUUUCAUAUAAUAUAACCAAAUAUGUAAAAUAUUUGUAAAAUGUUCCAUCAUAUCCAUUGAAAUAGCUUGAACUUUUUAGUCAUUUAACAAUUUUUCUUCUAUAUGGCCUGAAUACCACAGAUACACAUUUUUAACCUUUUGUACCAAACUCUGAGAUCAAGGAAGAGAGAUUAAAUCAGUUUGAUUGAACUCAACUAUUCAAUCAACUUUUUCAUUAAGUGACAGCAACAACAUAUUAUUUUUUUUCUAAAAUCACAGAUGGCAUCUUUAAAAACUCUAACUGUAACUGCAAUAAGCUUUUCACAAAUACUACUCCAGAUUGCAAUAUGGUUUAAAACUUAAGCAAAUGAAAGCAAGCAUUAUUUUAGAUUUAUUAUCUACAUUGUCAAACUUGAAUAAUCUAAACUGACUCAUCAUUUAGAAACCAAGCUAAAAUUGGGAAUGAAAUAGCUUACCAAUGUUUGUAGAGUAGUAAAAAGGAAGAGCUAGAAGAAGGCAAAAUGGCGUCCCUGAAAACAUGUUUAACACAAAGUUUUAAACUGUUCACCCUUGCGUGUGAUAGAUGUGAGUGUGUCUAGGUCUAUAUGGAAAAUGUUGCUUCAGAGUACAGGAAGCACAGGCCACAGCUUUUGAUUACAUCAUUUGGUGACAUCUGUUAAAAGUGACCGAAGCAAAAGCAAUCUUUAUAAUGUAGCUUAUAAAGUAUCAUUUUCUACCUGAUUCAUUCAUUCCAGAAAUCCCAUUGCCACCCAACAUGAAUGUGUACAUACAUACAGUUCCCUCCACUAAU
ensembl:lncRNA